rnacentral:rRNA from 1 species
GACGAACGCUGGCGGCGUGCCUAAUACAUGCAAGUAGAACGCUGAAGGAGGAGCUUGCUCUUCUGGAUGAGUUGCGAACGGGUGAGUAACGCGUAGGUAACCUGCCUGGUAGCGGGGGAUAACUAUUGGAAACGAUAGCUAAUACCGCAUAAUAGUAGAUGUUGCAUGACAUUUGCUUAAAAGGUGCAAUUGCAUCACUACCAGAUGGACCUGCGUUGUAUUAGCUAGUUGGUGGGGUAACGGCUCACCAAGGCGACGAUACAUAGCCGACCUGAGAGGGUGAUCGGCCACACUGGGACUGAGACACGGCCCAGACUCCUACGGGAGGCAGCAGUAGGGAAUCUUCGGCAAUGGACGAAAGUCUGACCGAGCAACGCCGCGUGAGUGAAGAAGGUUUUCGGAUCGUAAAGCUCUGUUGUAAGAGAAGAACGAGUGUGAGAGUGGAAAGUUCACACUGUGACGGUAUCUUACCAGAAAGGGACGGCUAACUACGUGCCAGCAGCCGCGGUAAUACGUAGGUCCCGAGCGUUGUCCGGAUUUAUUGGGCGUAAAGCGAGCGCAGGCGGUUAGAUAAGUCUGAAGUUAAAGGCUGUGGCUUAACCAUAGUACGCUUUGGAAACUGUUUAACUUGAGUGCAAGAGGGGAGAGUGGAAUUCCAUGUGUAGCGGUGAAAUGCGUAGAUAUAUGGAGGAACACCGGUGGCGAAAGCGGCUCUCUGGCUUGUAACUGACGCUGAGGCUCGAAAGCGUGGGGAGCAAACAGG